rnacentral:lncRNA from 1 species
GGGGUGGGGGGAGGGGGUAGUUGGAUAGCAUGAAGGAAAACGGUCAACCCAGAUAAUUUGUGAAGAAAGUGAACAGAACUGAUGUAAGAAUGAGAAAAGCUCAAGUGCUUAUCCAUUUGAAUUAUUGGGCCGAUCUCCAGAAAAUUGGCCCUUGACUAAAUAAUACCAUGACUAAACAUGUAUUAUUUUCUCCCAAGACAUCCUACCAAACAACCCCUUAAGGUUCA